CUGGAAGUAGGGUGGGGCAUCAGACACCAGUAGCAGGACUGUAGGCAUCUGCCACCAUGCCUGGCUGAUUUUUCUUUUUUCUUUUUGCAGAGAUGGGGUUUUACUAUGUUGGAGAAGCUGGUCUCAAACUCCUGGGCUCAAGUCAUCCUCCCGCCUCAGCCUCCCAAAGUGCUGAGAUUACAGACGUGUGCCUGGCCUAUUUUACUCGUUUUAAUAGAUGUUCUUCGUUGAGACACUCUCCUGAAGUCAGAUUAACAAAAGAAAAAUAAGCAGAAGUUUACUAACACUCGUACCCAUUACGUGGAAGAGGCCUCA
rnacentral:lncRNA from 1 species